UCAGAAGCUCCAGCGUCUUCUGCACUCACUUUUGGAUGAAGAUGAUUGACCUGCGGAUUAUGAUUCCACAUCCUGCAAUCCAAAAAUCCCGAUCCAAAGGUUCAGUGGAAACCCGUCCGCCCUCACGACAUGUCUCAGGAACAGACCCGUCAAAUGAUCUACAAGAAAGAUACAAUAACACUUCGGAGGGUUUGCAUUGAUUCACCACUACUUGUAAAAUUUAUAGGUUUCUCAAUGGCUCCCCCAAUUAUGCCCCGGAGUUUAACAGAAUGGAUUUUGAGUAUGACAUGUUCUUGGAAUGCUACAUCCUUAGAACCUGUACCGUGCAACCGGUC